UACAGAGGGUGCGAGCGUUGUUCGGAAUUACUGGGCGUAAAGAGCGCGCAGGCGGCUGGUCAAGUCCGAUGUGAAAGCUCCCGGCUUAACUGGGAAAUUGCAUCGGAAACUGAUCGGCUGGAAGGUGGGAGAGGGUAGCGGAAUUCCCGGUGUAGUGGUGAAAUGCGUAGAUAUCAGGAGGAACACCGGUGGCGAAGGCGGGUCUCUGGGCCGAUAUCGACGCUGAGGAGCGAAAGCGUGGGGAGCGAACAGG
rnacentral:rRNA from 1 species